rnacentral:tRNA from 1 species
CAUUAAGUGGCUGAAAUGCAAGCAUUGGUCUCUUAAACCAAAAUAUAGUAAGUAUCAACUACUCUUAAUG